GACGAACGCUGGCGGCGUGCCUAAUACAUGCAAGUAGAACGCUCAAGCGAGGAGCUUACUCUUCUUGGAUGAGUUGCGGACGGGUGAGUAACGCGUAGAUAACCUGCCUUUUAGCGGGGGAUAACUUUUGGAAACGAUAGCUAAUACCGCAUAACAAUGUGUGACACAUGUCAUUUUUUUGAAAGGGGCAAUUGCUCCCCUACAAGAUGGACUUCGGUUGUAUUAGCUAGUAUGUGAGGUAAUCGCCCUCCUAAGCGGAGAUUCAUAGCCGACCUGAGAGGGGGGACGGCCACACUGGGAAUGAGACAAGGGCCAGACUCCCACGGGGGGCAGCAGUAGGGGAACUUUGGGAAUGGGGGCAACGCUGAACGGGCAACGCCGCGGGAGUGAAGAAAGGUUUCGGAUCGGAAAGAUCUGUUGUAAGGCAAGAACGAGUGUGAGAAUGGAAUGUGCACGCUUUGACGGUAGCUUAUCAGAAAGGGACGGCUAACUACGUG
rnacentral:rRNA from 1 species